GCCGAAAUAAAUAUGUUAACGUUGAAAUUGAAAGAAAGACAUGACUCUGAUUAUUACCUAAUCUGGAAUAAAUGGUAUGACUGUGCUGAAGGGCAUCC